rnacentral:rRNA from 1 species
GAUGAACGCUAGCUACAGGCUUAACACAUGCAAGUCGCAGGGUAACAUGAGGAAAGCUUGCUUUCCUUGAUGACGACUGGCGCACGGGUGAGUAACGCGUAUCCAACCUUCCCAUAACUACGGGAUAACCCGUUGAAAGACGGCCUAAUACCGUAUGAUAUCGUUUGCUGACAUCAAAUAACGAUUAAAGGUUUAGCGGAUAUGGAUGGGGAUGCGUCUGAUUAGCUUGUUGGCGGGGUAACGGCCCACCAAGGCGACGAUCAGGAGGGGUUCUGGGAGGAAGGUCCCCCAGAUUGGAACUGCGACACGGACCACACUCGUACGGGAGGCAGGGGUGAGGAAUGUUGGGCGAUGGGCGAGGACCUGAACCAGCCAAGUAGCGUGCAAGACGACGGCGCUAGGAAUUGUAAACUGCUUUUAUGGAGGGAUAGAGUGCGUGACGGGUCAUGCAUUGCAGGUACCACAUGAAUAAGGACCGGCUAAUUCCGUG